UUCAAAAUCUUCCAAUAAUUUGUGUUUAUGUGUUCUACUAGAUCCUGAACUCUUGUCUCAAAAUGAUUGAGACGAGAGUAGAGAACCUGUUUGCUGCAGACAGCUAUGUCAUUUCCACUUGGUUCCCACCAUCAUCGAGGAACGCCAUGGAUCACCUUCCGGAUAAUGCAGCCAGUCUACAGUGGAUUAUUCUCCCAGUGUCCGUACCUGGACAUUGGACACUCUGUACACGUUGCUCACAGCCUCUCUUCUCGCCCCUGGAGAGAGCUUGGUGUGAAUGAUGUCCAGGGCCUAACAAAGCAAGGGUGCUCCAACAACUGUGGCGUGUUUGUUUUGAUGGUAAGACCUAAUCAGUAUGUUAUAG